GACGAACGCUGGCGGCGUGCUUAACACAUGCAAGUCGAACGGAAAGGCCCCUUUGGGUGUCCUCGAGUGGCGCACGGGUGAGUAAUAUGUCAGUAACCUGCCCUUGACUUCGGGUUACCUUCCGGAAAUUAGGCUUAUUCCCCGUUCGGAAUCCUUACUGCAUGGUGGGGGUUGGAAAGCUUUGGCGUUUUUGGCUGCACUCGCGUGUUAUCAGCUUGUUUGUGGGGUAGUGGCUUACCAAGGCGAUGCCGGGUAGACGGCCAGAGAGGGCGAGCGGCCACACUGGGACUGAGAUGCGGCCCAGACGCCUACGGGAGGCAGAAGGGGGGAAGAUUGAACAAUGGGCGGAAGGCGGAUGCAGCAGCGCCGCGUGCGGGAUGACGGCCUUCGGGGUGUAAAACGGUUACAGCAGGGGAGAAGCUUGUGGUGACGGUACCUGCAGAAGAAGCACCGGCUAACUACGUG
rnacentral:rRNA from 1 species